rnacentral:rRNA from 1 species
CCUACGGGAGGCAGCAGUGGGGAAUAUUGCACAAUGGGGGAAACCCUGAUGCAGCGACGUCGCGUGAGUGAUGACGUAUUUCGGUAUGUAAAGCUCUAUCAGCAGGGAAGAAAAUGACGGUACCUGACUAAGAAGCCCCGGCUAACUACGUGCCAGCAGCCGCGGUCAUACGUAGGGGGCAAGCGUUAUCAGGAUUUACUGGGGGUAAAGGGAGCGUAGACGGCGGUGCAAGCCAGAUGUGAAAGCCCGGGGCUCAACCCCGGGACUGCAUUUGGAACUGUGCUGCUAGAGUGUCGGAGAGGCAGGCGGAAUUCGUAGUGUAGCGGUGAAAUGCGUAGAUAUUAGGAGGAACACCAGUGGCGAAGGCGGCCUGCUGGACGAUGACUGACGUUGAGGCUCGAAAGCGUGGGGAGCAAACAGGAUUAGAUACCCUAGUAGUC